CAAAACAAAACAAAACAACACACACAACAAGGAUCAAUCACAUGUCGACGCAAGCCGGGCUUCGGGACAGUUUGCUAAGGGGCCGAAAAAGAAGCUAGUGGCUUAUCCGAUCCAGCCGGGGAGCGCGAAGUCAGGAGAAAGCGCCGGGCGGCAGAUCGGCGAAAAAGAGAAGAAGAAGAAGACAAAAAAACAACUUUUUUUUUUUUCAACAAGAUAUUUGUUUCCCCGGAUAUGUCUCCUUUUUCUUCUUCUCCCGGUUCCCUCUGUUAUUCUGUCCUCCGCCUUCGGAGGAAAAGACUCCUUAAGCAGAGAAGUUCAUCAUAGCAAACAAACAAACAAAAAACGACAGAAGCAGUGGAAGCAAAAGUGACCAGUGUUUCAUAUUUUAUGCACCCUUUUUAAAAUAUGUUUUGUGACGAUGACAUCAAGGUAGUAAAAAACCUUCACGGAACAGGAGCCAGUUGCACAGAUGGAUGAGAACAUGGCAGCCAUAAAACCGAGCAUUAAAAACACCAUCCUGUUCCAGGAAGUUCAAAUCAAGCAAGGCUUUCAUUGCUUAAGUUUUGGAGCUACUACAAUUCUGGCUGACUAAUAUAUUUUGCUAAACCUUUCCACCCACAAAAAGUAAAUGUAUGGAUAUUUUCAACCCACAUGAGAAAUGAAAAUGAAGGCGCACAAUUAAUUCUCUGUAUGGUCCCUUCUAUACAAAACUACAUUUGUUUCCUAAUGCUUUGAUAUAUGUCAUGUUUUUGCUUUCUUUUUCAAUGGCAUGAAUGACUAAAUAUAUCUUUUGAAGAAGAAUAAUUCUAUUAUUAACAAAGUAAUGAGUUGGAUAUGACAAAAAAAACUUGCACUUUAUGGCUUGCUAAAACAUACAAUAUCCUUUUCAGAUCAAAUGUAUCAAGUAUACAUGGACAUUAGUGAGAGAUGACAUUCUCUUUACUUUUCUGUGUAGCCAUACAAUGUCUGUCAGUGUAUUUGCAAUUCAACAUAGAGCUGUGCCUAAUGACCUUGUUGUCCAAGAACUGUGUAAAAGUUUUCCUUUUCCUAUGUACAGUAAAGCACUUUCAAGCAGAUUUCCCCACUGGUAGGUUGAUCUGUGCUUGAAAUUUCAACAUUCCACCUGCCCACCCCACCAACAGAGGUGUAAAACCAUAGUG
rnacentral:lncRNA from 1 species